UUUUGUUUCUUUCCUAGAAAACGAAUGCACCCCUCGCCAGCAGCUCUUGGAGCAUUUCUUGCGUUUGCUACAGAGGAAAGAUGCACACGGAUUCUUUGCCUUCCCGGUGACAGACGCCAUUGCUCCAGGAUACUCCAUGAUAAUCAAACAUCCCAUGGACUUUAGCACAAUGAAGGACAAAAUCGAUGCAAACGAAUACAAAACUAUCACAGAAUUCAAGGCAGACUUCAAGCUGAUGUGUGACAACGCCAUGGUUUAUAACCGACCGGAGACGGUUUACUACAAGGCCGCUAAGAAACUUCUCCACACAGGAUUCAAAAUGAUGAGCAAACAGGCUGCCAUUUUGGGAGAUGACCACAU